rnacentral:rRNA from 1 species
CCUACGGGGGGCUGCAGUGGGGAAUAUUGGACAAUGGGGGGAACCCUGAUCCAGCCAUGCCGCGUGUGUGAAGAAGGCCCUCGGGUUGUAAAGCACUUUCAGUGAGGAAGAACGCCUGGUGGUUAAUACCCAUCAGGAAAGACAUCACUCACAGAAGAAGCACCGGCUAACUCCGUGCCAGCAGCCGCGGUAAUACGGAGGGUGCGAGCGUUAAUCGGAAUUACUGGGCGUAAAGCGCGCGUAGGUGGCUUGAUAAGCCGGUUGUGAAAGCCCCGGGCUCAACCUGGGACCGGCAUCCGGAACUGUCAAGCUAGAGUGCAGGAGAGGAAGGUAGAAUUCCCGGUGUAGCGGUGAAAUGCGUAGAGAUCGGGAGGAAUACCAGUGGCGAAGGCGGCCUUCUGGACUGACACUGACACUGAGGUGCGAAAGCGUGGGUAGCAAACAGGAUUAGAUACCCGGGUAGUC